CUGGCGGCAGGCUUAACACAUGCAAGUCGAGCGGAUGAAGGUAGCUUGCUACCGGAUUCAGCGGCGGACGGGUGAGUAAUGCUUAGGAAUCUGCCUAUUAGUGGGGGACAACGUUCCGAAAGGAGCGCUAAUACCGCAUACGUCCUACGGGAGAAAGCAGGGGACCUUUGGNCCUUGCGCUAAUAGAUGAGCCUAAGUCGGAUUAGCUAGUUGGUAGGGUAAAGGCCUACCAAGGCGACGAUCUGUAGCGGGUCUGAGAGGAUGAUCCGCCACACUGGGACUGAGACACGGCCCAGACUCCUACGGGAGGCAGCAGUGGGGAAUAUUGGACAAUGGGGGGAACCCUGAUCCAGCCAUGCCGCGUGUGUGAAGAAGGCCUUUUGGUUGUAAAGCACUUUAAGCGAGGAGGAGGCUACCUAGAUUAAUACUUUAGGAUAGUGGACGUUACUCGCAGAAUAAGCACCGGCUAACUCUGUGCCAGCAGCCGCGGUAAUACAGAGGGUGCGAGCGUUAAUCGGAUUUACUGGGCGUAAAGCGUGCGUAGGCGGCCAAUUAAGUCAAAUGUGAAAUCCCCGAGCUUAACUUGGGAAUUGCAUUCGAUACUGGUUGGCUAGAGUAUGGGAGAGGAUGGUAGAAUUCCAGGUGUAGCGGUGAAAUGCGUAGAGAUCUGGAGGAAUACCGAUGGCGAAGGCAGCCAUCUGGCCUAAUACUGACGCUGAGGUACGAAAGCAUGGGGAGCAAACAGGAUUAGAUACCCUGGUAGUCCAUGCCGUAAACGAUGUCUACUAGCCGUUGGGGCCCUUGAGGCUUUAGUGGCGCAGCUAACGCGAUAAGUAGACCGCCUGGGGAGUACGGUCGCAAGACUAAAACUCAAAUGAAUUGACGGGGGCCCGCACAAGCGGUGGAGCAUGUGGUUUAAUUCGAUGCAACGCGAAGAACCUUACCUGGCCUUGACAUACAGAGAACUUUCCAGAGAUGGAUUGGUGCCUUCGGGAACUCUGAUACAGGUGC
rnacentral:rRNA from 1 species